rnacentral:rRNA from 1 species
AUUGAACGCUGGCGGCAGGCUUAACACAUGCAAGUCGAGCGGUAGCACAGGGGAGCUUGCUCCCUGGGUGACGAGCGGCGGACGGGUGAGUAAUGUCUGGGAAACUGCCUGAUGGAGGGGGAUAACUACUGGAAACGGUAGCUAAUACCGCAUAACUUCGCAAGACCAAAGAGGGGGACCUUCGGGCCUCUUGCCCUCAGAUGUGCCCAGAUGGGAUUAGCUAGUAGGUGGGGUAAUGGCUCACCUAGGCGACGAUCCCUAGCUGGUCUGAGAGGAUGACCAGCCACACUGGAACUGAGACACGGUCCAGACUCCUACGGGAGGCAGCAGUGGGGAAUAUUGCACAAUGGGCGCAAGCCUGAUGCAGCCAUGCCGCGUGUGUGAAGAAGGCCUUCGGGUUGUAAAGCACUUUCAGCGAGGAGGAAGGUGGUGAGCUUAAUACGUUCAUCAAUUGACGUUACUCGCAGAAGAAGCACCGGCUAACUCCGUG